UUUCGCAAUGGCUUGGAAUUUGAUUGGAAGCUCCCUAAAAUCUGAACCGUUUAUUUGUUCUUAAUCCAACGAUGUAAUAUGAAAUUUACAAAAAUAAGACUGUUAUGUAGAACCUACUACAACCCCUAAUUCUUCAAAGGGAGACUUGGGGUUUCUCGGCCAAGAGUGAGGCUUGGGGUUUCUCGGUCAAAAAGAACUAGACAAGGAUUUCUGAAGAUGGAUUCCAGUACGAUAAUCAUGUUCUUUAUUCACGCAUAGAAGAAGUCUCGAAGGAUAGUUUCAGGGUUCUGUUCUUUGGUCCAACUGAUGAUCAAAAUUUGGGUCACUGGACUAGACAAGGAUUUCUGAAGAUGAAUUCCAGUGCGAUAAUCACAUUCUUUAUUCAUGCAUAGAAGGAAUCUUGAAGGACAGUUUUGGGGUUUUGUUCUUUGGUCCUACUGAUGAUCGAAAUUUGGGUUCAUUGGUUUGUAAUUGCGAAUUCUCUUAGGAUUCUCAUUUUAUGUUUGUUUAUUUCAGAAAUUGUGUCUCAGAGAAACAAUUUUCUCUCUUGUUUCUAUAAUUUCCUCUUUACAAUAAUGUUCUUUUGUUGGCUCAUUAGGAUGAUUACAGAGAUGAUCAAAAUUGAGAAUUUUCUUUUCUUUUAA